AAAGGAAUUGACGGGGAGCACACAACAGGUGGAGCCUGCGGUUUAAUCGGACUCAACGCCGGGAAACUCACCAGAUAAGACAGCUGAAUGAUAGUCGGGCUGAAGACUCUACUUGACUAGCUGAGAGGAGGUGCAUGGCCGUCGUCAGUUCGUACUGUGAAGCAUCCUGUUAAGUCAGGCAACGAGCGAGACCCACGCCAACAGUUGCCAGCUCGUCCUCCGGGAUGGUGGGGACACUGUUGGGACCGCCGCUGCUAAAGCGGAGGAAGGAAUGGGCAACGGUAGGUCAGUAUGCCCCGAAUAUCCCGGGCUACACGCGAGCUACAAUGGUUGGUACAAUGGGUAUCUACCCCGAAAGGGGACGGGAAUCUCCUAAAACCAAUCUUAGUUCGGAUUGAGGGCUGCAACUCGCCCUCAUGAAGCUGGAAUCCGUAGUAAUCGCGUUUCAACAGAACGCGGUGAAUACGUCCCUGCUCCUU
rnacentral:rRNA from 1 species